GACAGAGGUGCCAAGCGUUAGGCGGAAUCACUGGGCUUAAAGCGUGUGUAGGCGGAUGCCUAAGUACCUUGUGAAAUCCCCACGGCUCAACCGUGGAACUGCUGGGUAUACUGGGCGUCUUGGGUCACCUAGGGGUUGCCGGAACAAAUGGUGGAGCGGUGAAAUGCGUAGAUAUCAUUUGGAACGCCAACGGCGAAAGCAGGCAACUGGGGGUGUACCGACGCUGGAGACACGGAAAGCCAGGGGAGCGAACGGG
rnacentral:rRNA from 1 species